rnacentral:lncRNA from 1 species
GAGAUCAGUCGAGUGAACAUCUCCGACACGGCAACUACUGCUGCGCACCAUUGGUAACCAACCUCCUUCUUCAUCGUUUAACCAGUUCGCAAUCACGGUUAACUAUGACGGCGUGCUGCUGUUGGGUGUUGUAUCGUUGAUGGCUGGAUCGACCAAUGGUGUACUGAUGUCUCCUGGUUAUAGCUGAUACCAAACCGCAAUGCCGCCGCCUAACUACACAACAACUUUAACGACCAGUUACAACACCGAGGCCUGGACCGAGACCCAUAAGUACUGCACCACUAAGUCACCGAAUUGCACCACCAAGUCAGCGAAAUACUACACGACUACGUAUCCUGCUUAUCUUACUACACCGAGGCUCCAGCUACUACACCGAGGCUCCAGCUACUACACCGAGGCUCCAGCUACUACACCGAGGCUCCAGCUACUACACCGAGGCUCCAGCUACUACACCGAGGCUCCAGCUACUACACCGAGGCUCCAGCUACUACACCGAGGCUCCAGCUACUACACCGAGGCUCCAGCUACACAACCACGACUGAUGCGGUCAUGGUUUACGUAGCCCCAACUUUCUACUCAACUGCUGCCCCUUCGUAUUGCGUUGAACCGAAAUACUGCACUGAAGCUUCAGUUUACUACACCGAAAAUCUGAAGUAUUACUCUGCUCAUAGUAUCUACACCACUAAGGCACCUGAAUAGUACACUAAGACAUACUCCAGAUUUCUAGAAGGAUUCUAAAUGCCAGAGCUGAUAUGAUGGAAAAUCUGUACACAUACAUAUACACAAUAUCAUAAUAGUUACUAAAGUCACUAGGAAUUGUUCUUUGAUGAGAAAAUAAAGUUUUUAAUUUGGGUAA